AUUGAACGCUGGCGGCAGGCCUAACACAUGCAAGUCGAGCGAGCGGCGGACGGGUGAGUAAUGUAUGGGGACUGCCCGAUAGAGGGGGAUAACUACUGGAAACAGUAUCUAAUACAGCAUACUAUCGGAUGACCCAUAUGGGAUUGGCUAGUAGGUGGGGUAAUGGCUCACCUAGAAGACGAUCCCUAGCUGGUCUGAGAGGAUGAUCAGCCACACUGGGACUGAGACACGGCCCAGACUCCUACGGAGGCAGCAGUGGGGAAUAUUGCACAAUGGGCGCAAGCCUGAUGCAGCCAUGCCGCGUGUAUGAAGAAGGCCCUAGGGUUGUAAAGUACUUUCAGUCGGGAGGCGUUACCGACAGAAGAAGCACCGGCUAACUCCGUGCCAGCAGCCGCGGUAAUAC
rnacentral:rRNA from 1 species